UACGGAGGGUGCGAGCGUUGUCCGGAAUCAUUGGGCGUAAAGGGCGCGUAGGCGGCCCUCCUUGUCGCGUGUGAAAGCCCCGGCUCAACCUGGAGACGCCACUUGAUACUGCUGUGACUGGAGUCCGGUAGGGGAGCGUGGAAUUCCUGGUGUAGCGGUGAAAUGCGCAGAUAUCAGGAGGAACACCAGCGGCGAAGGCGGCGCUCUGGGCCGGUACUGACACUGAGGAGCGAAAGCGUGGGUAGCAAACAGG
rnacentral:rRNA from 1 species